GAUGAAGAACGCAGCGAAAUGCGAUAAGUAGUGUGAAUUGCAGAAUUCAGUGAAUCAUCGAAUCUUUGAACGCACAUUGCGCCCCUUGGUAUUCCGGGGGGCAUGCCUGUCCGAGCGUCAUUGCUGCCCUCAAGCACGGCUUGUGUGUUGGGCCCCGUCCUCCGAUCCCGGGGGACGGGCCCGAAAGGCAGCGGCGGCACCGCGUCCGGUCCUCGAGCGUAUGGGGCUUUGUCACCCGCUCUGUAGGCCCGGCCGGCGCUUGCCGAUCAACCCAAAUUUUUAUCCAGGUUGACCUCGGAUCAGGUAGGGAUACCCGCUGAACUUAAGCAUAUCAAUAAGCGGAGGA
rnacentral:misc_RNA from 1 species